ACACGACUACAUUAGAUACCCCCGUAGUCCCAGCCCUAAACGAUGCGCGUUAGGUGUAUCGGUGACCACGAGUCACCGAGGUGCCGAAGGGAAACCGUGAAACGUGCCGCCUGGGAAGUACGGUCGCAAGGCUGAAACUUAAAGGAAUUGGCGGGGAGCACCACAACAGGUGGAGCCUGCGGUUUAAUUGGACUCAACGCCGGGAAGCUCACCGGAUAGGACAGCAGAAUGAUUGCCGGGCUGAAGACCCUGCAUGACUAGCUG
rnacentral:rRNA from 1 species